CCUACGGGAGGCAGCAGUGGGGAAUAUUGCACAAUGGGGGAAAGCCUGAUGCAGCAACGCCGCGUGAGUGAAGAAGGACUUCGGUAUGUAAAGCUCUAUCAGCAGGGAAGAAGAUGACGGUACCUGAGUAAGAAGCGCCGGCUAACUACGUGCCAGCAUCCGCUGUAAUACGUAGGGGGGAAGCGUUAUCCGGGUUUACUGGGGGGAAAUGGAGCGCAGACGGCAGUGCAAGUCCGGAGUGAAAGCCCGGGGGUCAACCCCGGAACUGCUGUGGAAACUGUGCGGCUAGAGUACUGGAGGGGCAGGCGGAAUUCCUGGUGUAGCGGUGAAAUGCGUAGAUAUUAGGAGGAACACCAGUGGCGAAGGCGGCCUGCUGGACAGUAACUGACGUUGAGGCUCGAAAGCGUGGGGAGCAAACAGGAUUAGAUACCCGAGUAGUC
rnacentral:rRNA from 1 species